rnacentral:rRNA from 1 species
UAGUCUGGUGCCAGCAGCCGCGGUAAUUCCAGCUCCAAUAGCGUAUAUUAAAGUUGUUGCAGUUAAAACGCUCGUAGUCGGAUUUCGGGGCAGGUUUGCCGGUCUGCCGAUGGGUAUGCACUGGUAGAACUGUCCUUCCUUCCGGAGACGGCGCCUACUCUUAACUGAGCGGGUGUCGGAGACGGAUCGUUUACUUUGAAAAAAUCAGAGUGUUUCAAGCAGGCAGCUCGCUUUUGCAUGGAUUAGCAUGGGAUAAUGAAAUAGGACUUUGGUGCUAUUUUGUUGGUUUCGAACACCGAAGUAAUGAUUAACAGGGACAGUCAGGGGCACUCGUAUUCCGCCGAGAGAGGUGAAAUUCUUAGACCAGCGGAAGACGAACCACUGCGAAAGCAUUUGCCAGGGAUGUUUUCACUGAUCAAGAACGAAAGUUAGGGGAUCGAAGACGAUCAGAUACCGUCGUAGUCUUAACCAUAAACCAUGCCGACUAGGGAUUGGAGGAUGUUCCUAUGUGACUCCUUCAGCACCUUUCGGGAAACUAAAGUCUUUGGGUUCCGGGGGGAGUAUGGUCGCAAGGCUGAAACUUAAAGGAAUUGACGGAAGGGCACCACCAGGAGUGGAGCCUGCGGCUUAAUUUGACUCAACACGGGGAAACUUACCAGGUCCAGACAUUGUGAGGAUUGACAGAUUGAGAGCUCUUUCUUGAUUCGAUGGGUGGUGGUGCANGGNNGUUCUU